AGGUAGAUACUCCCACACGGUACGAGCCCCCACCGCAAAAUUAAACAUUCUGAUGGGUUCCGUUGAACUAUGAAAUCAACGAUACCAGUUUUAUAGAUUCUACCCAAGUUUACCAAUUUUACCAUGACUUCUCUGCUCCAAAUCUCCGUCUUAAACAUUCUUCACGAUGACAUAUCCAAGAAAUUCAUUUGUUCCCACUCUCUACCAAGUUCAAAGAUUACUUCUUUCACUCAAAGCAGAUUUAGAUUGAGGGCCAACAGAGAGAAAUUGAGUGUUCUGGAAUUGGGGAGCGGAAAAGAUGGGAUGUUGGUAAGAGAUGAGGGGUGGAAAAGGAAGAGGAGGGUGGUUUUGGUGAGGUUUAAUCAGGGGUUUGGGUUUAACGGCGGUGGCGGUGGCGGUGGCGGUGGAAGAGAUAACAGUGGCACUAUUAGACUUCUGGGUAAUGUUGCUUUGGCUAUUGGCUUGACUUACCUUUCAAUGACUGGGCAGCUUGGUUGGAUUUUUGAUGCAAUUGGCUGGGUUUUGGACAUUGCUAUUUCUAUUUGGCUCCUGGCAGUACUAAUACCUAUUGUCGGUGUGGGAGCUUUCCUCUGGUGGGCAGGGCGGGAUAUGCUUCAAGGCACGUGCCCGAAUUGUGGAAAUGAUUUUCAGAUUUUCAAAUCGACUCUGAAUGAUGAAUUGCAGCUCUGCCCCUUUUGCAGUCAACCAUUCUCAGUAGUGGAAGAUGAGUUCGUUAGGGAUUCUGUCAAAUUCUCCAAUAGUUCAACAACAUUUGGACAAGCAUUUCGUGACUUCUCUGCUCGCUCCGAGAAAGGAAAGGAUUCUUCUUCAGUUGUUGACAUUGAAGCAGAAAUAAAAGAUGCAGACUAAGGCCUUAAAUGAAAAAGCAGUAGAGGGCCUCAUAGACACAAUACCAUGGUUUGUGCUAAAGACUCUUGAACUGCAAUUAUAGGGUGGUGGCAUUUUGAAUUUUAUUCAUCUCCAUCCAAGUGAAAGAGCAGGUGAUGCCGGAGGACCUUCUUGGGAUCAACUGGAACAACCCUGAGCGCACAGCUACCACAGCGCAGGAUUAAUAGGGAGCCAAAUUAAACCGCAUUUGUAUUGUAAAUUUUGGAGAUGUACUUCCUACUGUAGCUCAGUAGACGAGCCUGUAUAUUUUACUGGCAUAUCUUGAUUUCUUGUCUGUUUUUUUCUGAGCCUUUAGGAUGAAAACCAGAAAUUAUUUGAGAGCUGCACAAACUAAGGUUUCAUUUGUUUUAUGGAAAUAUCUUUUAGAAUAAAUAUUCACAUUUUAGA